AGAAUAUGAAAAGAGUAGUUUGCACUUCUAAAAAAUUCAAAGUUUUACUAUUUCUUUAAAUAUACAUAUAUGUAUAUCUAUUUAUAAGAAAUGAAAAAAUAUAUAUUUUUUUCAUUUCUCUUUCAUAUAUAUAUAUAUAUAUAUAUAUAUAUGUAUUCUGACAGUUACCUUGAAUUCAUUCUGUUGUCUCAUUUUUAAUGGUGCCGUAAUCUUUUGGUAACAAUACCAAGCAAAUUAAGAUGGUUGAUGCUGCUGAAGUUUGUGUAAUGAUAAAUAGACACCAAUAUUAGCUUGUUGCUUUUAUGGUGCUUUAAUUUGUAUAUUUUUCUUCUACGAAUAUGGCUGUAGUUUCAUAUUGAAUAAAUUGAUAUUUUUAUUUUAUGUUCUUUUUUCUAAAAAUAUCUUCAUUUAAUAUUCUUCUAUAUGAAAUACGUGCACUGUGUGAGU
rnacentral:lncRNA from 1 species